rnacentral:rRNA from 1 species
CCUACGGGAGGCAGCAGUGGGGAAUAUUGCACAAUGGGGGAAACCCUGAUGCAGCGACGCCGCGUGAGUGAAGAAGUAAUUCGUUAUGUAAAGCUCUAUCAGCAGGGAAGAAAAUGACGGUACCUGACUAAGAAGCCCCGGCUAACUACGUGCCAGCAGCCGCGGUAAUACGUAGGGGGCAAGCGUUAUCCGGAUUUACUGGGUGUAAAGGGAGCGUAGACGGAAUUGCAAGUCUGUAGUGAAAGGCGGGGGCUCAACCCCGGGACUGCAUUGGAAACUGUACGGCUGGAGUGCAGGAGAGGUAAGUGGAAUUCCUGGUGUAGCGGUGAAAUGCGGAGAUAUUAGGAGGAACACCAGUGGCGAAGGCGGCUUACUGGACGGUAACUGACGUUGAGGCUCGAAAGCGUGGGGAGCAAACAGGAUUAGAUACCCCGGUAGUA